GACGAACGCUGGCGGCGUGCCUAAUACAUGCAAGUCGAACGCAGUGGGGACGGGUGAGUAACACGUGGGUAACCUCCCAUCAGAGGGGAUAACACUUGGAAACAGGUGCUAAACCGAUACUGAUGGAUGGACCCGCGGUGCAUUCGCUUGUUGGUGAGGUAACGGCUCACCAAGGCCACGAUGCAUAGCCGACCUGAGAGGGGGAUCCGCCACACCGGGACUUGGACACGGGCCAGGCCCCUACGGGAGGCAGGAGUAGGGAAACGUCCGCAAUGGACGAAAGGCUGACCCAGCAACGCCGCGUGAGUGAAGGAGGUUUUCGGAUCGUAAAACUCUGUUGUUAGAGAAGCGGUAUCUAACCAGAAAGCCACGGCUAACUACGUGCCAGCAGCCGCGGUAAUUC
rnacentral:rRNA from 1 species